GCAUCGAUAGUUUAGUGGUAGAAUUGAAGCUUCCCACCCACGUGACGUCUCUGAACGAUGUCAAACUGGUGAAUUGCUUCAGGCACGGGUUCGAUUCCCGUUCGAUGCA